UGUUACUGGAACAAACCAGGUCUGUUCUCAUUGGACAGAGUCUUGUUGACAGUGCAGGAGGUUUUUGUACGACCACUUCAUGACUUUGUAUCACUGUGGUACACGUUUGGUGGAGGAACCAAACUCGUCGUUGACUUGGGUGUGGUGCCGCCCACCCUGAGCGUCCUGCCUCCCUCCACACAGGAGCUGGAGCGGGGCAGUGCCACAGUGGUGUGUGUGUCCAGUGGGGGCUUCCCCUCCACCUGGAGUCUGGCCUGGAAGGUGGGGGGCAGCAGCUCCUCAGGGGGGUCGCACAGCCCAGAGGUCCUGGGGACGGACGGCCGCUACGGCAGGAGCAGCACCCUGAGCCUGUCUGCAGAGCAGUGGAGGAAGGCGGGCUCAGUGAGCUGUGAGGCCAGUCUGACUGGACAGAGCCCUGUCACUCAAAGCCUCAACCCUGACCUCUGCUCUGAAACAACAGCCACUCUGUGCUGAGGCCAAAUGUGCCUUUACACACAGAUCACACAUGAUUAGUGUGAUGUGAUCUAAGGUUAUUCAGCAGUUUGUGUGUCUUCACAGCUUUUACACAUUGUUACAGUCACAUGUUGGACUUUUGUGCUUCUGCAAAAUAAAUAAAUAUUUGAUGCUCUCAUGUUGUAUCUGCUCGUUGUGUUCAAUGAAUAAAUGAUUCUGAAGUUUAAUAACUAACA